rnacentral:rRNA from 1 species
GUAAACGAUGAAUACUCGCUGUUUGCGAUAUACAGUAAGCGGCCAAGCGAAAGCGUUAAGUAUUCCACCUGGGGAGUACGCCGGCAACGGUGAAACUCAAAGGAAUUGACGGGGGCCCGCACAAGCGGAGGAACAUGUGGUUUAAUUCGAUGAUACGCGAGGAACCUUACCCGGGCUUGAAUUGCACUCGAAUAUGGUUGAAAGAUCAUAGCCGCAAGGCGAGUGUGAAGGUGCUGCAUGGUUGUCGUCAGCUCGUGCCGUGAGGUGUCGGCUUAAGUGCCAUAACGAGCGCAACCCUUAUUUCCAGUUACCAUCGGGUCAUGCCGGGGACUCUGGAAAGACUGCCGUCGUAAGAUGUGAGGAAGGUGGGGAUGACGUCAAAUCAGCACGGCCCUUACGUCCGGGGCUACACACGUGUUACAAUGGGUGGUACAGAAGGCAGCUACACGGCAACGUGAUGCUAAUCCCAAAAACCACUCUCAGUUCGGAU